GACCCACGUCCUGAGGAAGAGGAGAGACACAGUGAAGGUUCCACGCCGGGGUCGCCCUGACCCUCCCUGUGGGAAGGUUUUAUUCAGGACUAACCAGCCGACCACGAAGACAGAAACGGGCGGGGUUUAGCCGCGUGAGACGGCGACCAUUGAAAAAAAACAAAACGUUUGACUACUUUGCUUCUGCUCCUCCCGUUCACGAGUUCAGAGGAAAUGACGUCACAGCAGGCAAUUCCAGAAAAGACGGACACGCCCACGGCCAGGUAGAGCAGCAGGAUGCCCACCUCACGGUAGCUGUGCUGCAGGUACAACAAGCAGAGCCGUUAGCCAGACGCAAAGAACGGCCCAAACCUGAGGUCCAAAUAUCCAACCAAAGUAUCCCUCUGGGGGCUUUGAAACGGAAUAAAUGUCCACUGCUGGCCACGCCCACGCCAUGGGAGGAUCAGCUGAAACCUGCAGAGGGAUCACACCUGUGGAUCUUUUGUCGGUUUAACUCAUUUAGGUCACCACAGGUGGAGGUUCAAGUCCCCUGUUGAACCGGAACAGGAGCGUCUGUGAAGAAGCCGUGUGGAUCAGAGGAACACGUCUGACUGCUGGUUAGACUUUUCAUCUGCAGCUAAUGAACAGACAUGGAGUCCUCUGCUUUUCUAUGCGUCACAUCACAUCCAUCUGAUGACCACCUACAAACAUGUCAGGCAUGUGAGAAACACAACCGUCUGAUAACAGAAGAACCUGAGAAGUCGGCUAAUGAGGAAGGCGGCGUCUUCCCGCCGCCGCUGCACUAAUGAAGGCGUCUGAAGGGCGGGAAGCAUCACAGACGCUUUGUGAAAGUCCAAGAAACCAUGUUGCUUCUCGGGGAAACUCCACAUGAGGCCUGAGGCCAUCAAAGGAGGCGCUGACGGCCAAAAGAACCCCACAGUCACUGAAACAGGUUUAGACCCAAACCUGAAGUCUCACUCGGAUCCUUAGAGGUUUUUUUAAAGUGCAGCGGAAAAUGUUUUCUGCUGUUUGAAUCCCAGGAAAACUAGAGAUGAAUUAAAACUGUUGGAAAUGCGGCCUGAAUGCAGCUCACAUGUCACAUGACCCGUCACAUGACUGCGCCGUUUCCAGCUGUGCUCCUGUUUUCAUGUCUGGACCGUUGGGUUCUGAGCUGAUCCUGAAUGCAGCUGUGGAGGCAGAGGAGGUCACAGCACAGUGGGUUUGAGCUGGGGAUUCAAACUUACCACCAAGAUCCGGCCAAAGUGAGCCUGAGCUGGAGGAUAGUAGCCCCCCCACACACACCCCCUGCUCACUCAUGCUGUCAGAACGAUCAGAACCAGAUUGUGGGGCUGGGCCUGAAGCGUCUGAUGUUCUGUUGGACCGGUGUGUGUGAAAAGACUCACCCGCAGAGUGGCCC